GAUGAAGAACGUAGUGAAAUGCGAUACUUGGUGUGAAUUGCAGAAUCCCGUGAACCAUCGAGUCUUUGAACGCAAGUUGCGCCCGAAGCCAUUAGGCCGAGGGCACGCCUGCCUGGGCGUCACACGUCGUUGCCCCCCCAUCUACUCCUUCGGGAUUGCGGGGGGCGGAUGAUGGCCUCCCGUGCGCCUCGUCGCGCGGUUGGCAUAAAUGCCAAGUCCUCGGCGACGCACGCCACGACAAUCGGUGGUUGCGAAACCUCGGUUGCCCGUCGUGUGCGGUCGUCGCGCAUCGAGGGCUCGAAAAAAUUGUCGGGCUCCGGCUCGGCUUUCAACGCGACCCCAGGUCAGGCGGGGUUACCCGCUGAAUUUAAGCAUAUCAAUAAGAGGAGGA
rnacentral:misc_RNA from 1 species